rnacentral:rRNA from 1 species
CUACCAUGCAGUCGACGGACCCUUCGGGGUUAGUGGCGGACGGGUGAGUAACACGUGGGAACGUGCCUUUUGGUUCGGAAUAGCUCCUGGAAACGGGUGGUAAUGCCGAAUGUGCCCUUCGGGGGAAAGAUUUAUCGCCAUUAGAGCGGCCCGCGUCUGAUUAGCUAGUUGGUGAGGUAAUGGCUCACCAAGGCGACGAUCAGUAGCUGGUCUGAGAGGAUGACCAGCCACAUUGGGACUGAGACACGGCCCAAACUCCUACGGGAGGCAGCAGUGGGGAAUCUUGCGCAAUGGGCGAAAGCCUGACGCAGCCAUGCCGCGUGAAUGAUGAAGGUCUUAGGAUUGUAAAAUUCUUUCACCGGGGACGAUAAUGACGGUACCCGGAGAAGAAGCCCCGGCUAACUUCGUGCCAGCAGCCGCGGUAAUACGAAGGGGGCUAGCGUUGCUCGGAAUUACUGGGCGUAAAGGGCGCGUAGGCGGACAUUUAAGUCAGGGGUAAAAUCCCAGAGCUCAACUCUGGAACUGCCUUUGAUACUGGGUGUCUUGAGUGUGAGAGAGGUAUGUGGAACUCCGAGUGUAGAGGUGAAAUUCGUAGAUAUUCGGAAGAACACCAGUGGCGAAGGCGACAUACUGGCUCAUUACUGACGCUGAGGCGCGAAAGCGUGGGGAGCAAACAGGAUUAGAUACCCUGGUAGAAUCACUAGUGAAUUC